CAGCCGCCGCGGUAAUACGUAGGGUGCAAGCGUUAAUCGGAAUUACUGGGCGUAAAGCGUGCGCAGGCGGUUUGUUAAGACAGAUGUGAAAUCCCCGGGCUCAACCUGGGAACUGCAUUUGUGACUGGCAGGCUAGAGUAUGGCAGAGGGGGGUGGAAUUCCGCGUGUAGCAGUGAAAUGCGUAGAUAUGCGGAGGAACACCGAUGGCGAAGGCAGCCCCCUGGGCCAAUACUGACGCUCAUGCACGAAAGCGUGGGGAGCAAACAGGAUUAGAUACCCCGGUAGUCCCUGUCUCUUAUAC
rnacentral:rRNA from 1 species